rnacentral:lncRNA from 1 species
AGACCUUUGCUCUCUAACUCCGGCUGGACAGAGGCAGCCCAGCAGCCCCCUAGCAUCCAUCUGGCUUGGGGAGUGGUGCCCCAGGGCUUAUGAGUGAGCUGGAACCCCAUGUCCUGGAAUCCCGAGUGGCUGUGACUGCUGACUGAUGCCCCCCUCCCCACAGUUCUGGAGAGUGGCUCAGCAGUCUCCCCGAGCUCCGGCCCUAGCAGUCCUCCCGUCUCCCCUCUGUCUGGACAUCGCCUUCUUACAAUGCAGAACAGACGAUGCACUGUCUCAGGUCACGCUUAGCCUCCUACGGGGGCACGACAGAAGAAGAGGAACAUUUAGAGAGGCACAGCUCCUACAUCCUUGGAUGGGGAGAGUGGGGAGCAAACAGGCCAGGAGCCUACUGUGAUCAGAGCUGGGGGAGCCAGUGUGAGCAGCAGGUGCAAUGAAAGGAUGUGGGAGUUUGAGACCCAUCUCUGCUGUGUGGCCCUGGCCAUGUGCAGUGGGUAAGUACAUCAGCAAGCAAACUGGCCUCAAGAAUCCCGCCCUAUCCUGGGCAUCUGGGGUUGAGGCUGGCUGUGCCAACCUUUGCACAGGGUUUCAAUCUGACCUCACUCAGAAAACGGAGCCACUUGCUUAGAGUCCCUCUCUCUGAACACGCUCUCCCCUCUGGAGGAAAAGCAUUGCAAUCCCAAGCUCCUGCUGCUGCCGUACAUCUGCAUCUUAUUCAUCUUUGAAGCUCCUGCAAUGCCUCCAACGGGGACACAACUAAAGGAAGCUCUCAGAACGCCCAGCUAUCCCCACUGCAGAAGGCUCUCCCUGAAAGGGCACAGGUGGAGGACGUUUGCAUUUAUCUGGAGACAGUUCAUGGAGAAACACAAAGAGGUGUCCUGACAAGACAACAGGUCCACAGCAGUCGUCAUCAUGAGUGCUCACCAUAUGCCAGGGUUCAUCUUUUAAAAUCCUUAACCAAACAACCAAACUGUGGUUGGGAUUAUUCUCUUUUUAUAGGUGAGAAAACUGAGGCUGAAAGCCAUUGGGUGGUUUGCCAAAGCUGAGAAGUAGCUGAGCUGGGGUUUGUACUCACACCACGGUGACUCGGAGGCCCAAGCCAGUUCUGACACACUGCCUUCCCAUGACAUUCCCACGACAGGUUCCCGAGGUCGUUGGAAUGCUUACACAUUUCAGCAACUUCAUGGCAACUGCCCAGCUCGACCCAGAAGAUAAUACUACCUUGUACUCCCCCUGCCGCUUCCUUCCUCCAGGCAGCUCACAGACAUGACCUCAUUCCCUCUCCCAGAGUCCCAUAGGGGUGAAGGACAGGGUGGGGAUCGUUAACUCUGCUUCCUAGGGAGGAAAGGGAGGCCCAGAGAGGGAUGCUGGCCCACCCUGGGUCAUCCAGCCAGCUAGCGGGAGAGCUGCAACUGGAAAUCAGGCUUCCCUGCCCUCGGGGACAGUUAUUUAGCCUCCUGGAUGUGAGCUAGAAUCACCCCUAAGAUGCAGCAAUUGGGGUACUCCUCUUGGGGUACUGGGACUCAGUGGCUGAAACAGCUCCAAGAGAGUUGGGCCUGUGCUGAAAACAGAAAUCCGAGAUGCAUAUAAAUUCAAUCCGUAUGAGAAGAGCAGGGUGGCCUGGGAGGAGUGGUCACCGCAGUGGCUCCACCUCCUACCCGGCCACCUGCAGCCCUGCCUGGGCUGCUCUUGGUCUCUCUGUGCCCAGCUUCCCUGGCCGGAUGCCCUGGGGGCCAGAGCAGCCGCAGGUGCGAUGAAAAGAACACUGGCCUUGAGGUCAUGGGACCUGGGGAGGAUAUUCACCAGGGGCCCCUAAGUUAGUCAUUUUAGCUCUCAGCUUUUCCAUUUUUCAUUCAAAAAAUGGGGACUCUAACUCCAUGAAAGAGACAUUGUGUGUGAAAUAUUUCAUCAUAAGCUGUGAAGCCUGCAAAGAAACUCCUGGUGUUCUCUGUAGCCUGAUUUCAUCUCUACUAAACGCUAUUUUGAAAAUGAUUUUGAAGCUGGUGGGUCACAUAGAAGGAUGGCCUGAGCAUCCAUCCAUCUUCCCUCCGGUGACCCUUUCACUUCGUGUCUGUGGUACCCAGUGCCUGGUACUGAAUGUUCCUGGGUGGCCCCGUGGUUCGGCAAACUUUCUGGAAAGGCCCAGGUAGUAAAUAUUUGAGGCCUGGUGGGCCACAUAUGGUUUUGGUCACAUGUUCUUUGUUUGUUUCUUUU